AUGAAACUAGCUCAAUUACAGUAUGUAGCAUAUAAAAAAGAAAAGGCAGUGGUCAUUGCAUUGGACGCGGAAAAAGCUUUUGAUCGCGUUGAAUGGAAGUAUUUAUUUAGAGUAUUAAAAUUAUUUUCAUUUAAUGAAAGUUUCAUUAACUGGAUUAAAUUAUUGUAUACAAAUCCUCAGGCAGCUCUUUUGAUUAAUGGAACUACAUCUGAGUUUUUUUUUUUUUUUUUUUUUUUUUUUUUUUUUUUUUUUUUUUUUUUUUUUUUUUUUUUUUUUUUUUUUUUUUUUUUUUUUUUUUUUUUUUUUUUUUUUUUUUUUUUUUUUUUUUUUUUUUUUUUUUUUUUUUUUUUUUUUUUUUUUUUUUUUUUUUUUUUUUUUUUUUUUUUUUUUUUUUUUUUUUUUUUUUUUUUUUUUUUUUUUUUUUUUUUUUUUUUUUUUUUUUUUUUUUUUUUUUUUUUUUUUUUUUUUUUUUUUUUUUUUUUUUUUUUUUUUUUUUUUUUUUUUUUUUUUUUUUUUUUUUUUUUUUUUUUUUUUUUUUUUUUUUUUUUUUUUUUUUUUUUUUUUUUUUUUUUUUUUUUUUUUUUUUUUUUUUUUUUUUUUUUUUUUUUUUUUUUUUUUUUUUUUUUUUUUUUUUUUUUUUUUUUUUUUUUUUUUUUUUUUUUUUUUUUUUUUUUUUUUUUUUUUUUUUUUUUUUUUUUUUUUUUUUUUUUUUUUUUUUUUUUUUUUUUUUUUUUUUUUUUUUUUUUUUUUUUUUUUUUUUUUUUUUUUUUUUUUUUUUUUUUUUUUUUUUUUUUUUUUUUUUUUUUUUUUUUUUUUUUUUUUUUUUUUUUUUUUUUUUUUUUUUUUUUUUUUUUUUUUUUUUUUUUUUUUUUUUUUUUUUUUUUUUUUUUUUUUUUUUUUUUUUUUUUUUUUUUUUUUUUUUUUUUUUUUUUUUUUUUUUUUUUUUUUUUUUUUUUUUUUUUUUUUUUUUUUUUUUUUUUUUUUUUUUUUUUUUUUUUUUUUUUUUUUUUUUUUUUUUUUUUUUUUUUUUUUUUUUUUUUUUUUUUUUUUUUUUUUUUUUUUUUUUUUUUUUUUUUUUUUUUUUUUUUUUUUUUUUUUUUUUUUUUUUUUUUUUUUUUUUUUUUUUUUUUUUUUUUUUUUUUUUUUUUUUUUUUUUUUUUUUUUUUUUUUUUUUUUUUUUUUUUUUUUUUUUUUUUUUUUUUUUUUUUUUUUUUUUUUUUUUUUUUUUUUUUUUUUUUUUUUUUUUUUUUUUUUUUUUUUUUUUUUUUUUUUUUUUUUUUUUUUUUUUUUUUUUUUUUUUUUUUUUUUUUUUUUUUUUUUUUUUUUUUUUUUUUUUUUUUUUUUUUUUUUUUUUUUUUUUUUUUUUUUUUUUUUUUUUUUUUUUUUUUUUUUUUUUUUUUUUUUUUUUUUUUUUUUUUUUUUUUUUUUUUUUUUUUUUUUAAGGUCUCUUGUUAUUUUUUCUGUAUAUGGUAA
rnacentral:lncRNA from 12 species